rnacentral:rRNA from 1 species
AUGAACGCUGGCGGCGUGCCUAAUACCUGCAAGUCGAGCGAACGGACGAGAAGCUUGCUUCUCUAAUGUUAGCGGCGGACGGGUGAGUAACACGUGGAUAACCUACCUAUAAGACUGGGAUAACUUCGGGAAACCGUAGCUAAUACCGGAUAAUAUUUUGAACCGCAUGGUUCAAAAGUGAAAGACGGUCUUGCUGUCACUUAUAGAUGGAUCCGCGCUGCAUUAGCUAGUUGGUAAGGUAACGGCUUACCAAGGCAACGAUGCAUAGCCGACCUGAGAGGGUGAUCGGCCACACUGGAACUGGGACACGGUCCAGACUCCUACGGGAGGCAGCAGUAGGGAAUCUUCCGCAAUGGGCGAAAGCCUGACGGAGCAACGCCGCGUGAGUGAUGAAGGUCUUCGGAUCGUAAAACUCUGUUAUUAGGGAAGAACAUAUGUGUAAGUAACUGUGCACAUCUUGACGGUACCUAAUCAGAAAGCCACGGCUAACUACGUG